GGGGUACAGAGGUGUUGUAUGUGGGGUUUUGGGGGGCUCCAAAUCCAUACCCAUCGUGCCAAAUCCUGUCACCAUCGUGCCUAAUCCUGUUCCCAUCGUGCCAAACUCCGUCCCCAUCGUGCCAAACUGUCCCCAUCGUGCCAAGUCCUGUCCCCAUCGUGCCUAACUUUGUCCCCAUCGUGCCAAAUCCUGUCAUCAUCGUGCCAAAUCCUGUCACCAUAGUGCCAACUUUGUCCCUAUCGUGCCAAAUUCUGUCACCAUCGUGCCAAAUCCUGUCACCAUCGUGCCUAACUUUGUCCCCAUCGUGCCAAACUCCGUCCCCAUCGUGCCAAAUCCUGUCCCCAUCGUGCCAAAUCCUGUCACCAUAGUGCCAACUUUGUCCCCAUCGUGCCAAAUCCUGUCCCCAUCGUGCCAAAUCCUGUCACCAUAGUGCCAAACUGUCCCCAUCGUGCCAAAUCCUGUCCCCAUCGUGCCAAACUGUCCCCAUCGUGCCAAUCCUUCUGUCCCCAUCCAGCCCGUAACAGCCACGGGCUCACCUGAGAGGGGCGGGGACCUGCCCUAUUCUGCUCCAUAUUAAUGAGCCCUUCCUCCUCCUCCUCCUCCUCCUCCUCCUCCUCCUCCUCCUCUUUCCCCUGCCGGUGUCCCGGAGCGCUGCCCGGUGCCAGCCGCGCUCGGUGCCAGCCCGGCUCGCCAUGGCCCGUGUCCCCCUGGCCCGUGUCACCCUCGUGUCGCAGCUCUGGCUCCUGCUCCAAACCUCCUGCCUCUGCCUGGCCCAGCUCCGAGGGCCACCAGGAGAACCUGGCCCACGAGGGCCCCCCGGUCCCCCAGGAGUGCCAGGAGCCGAUGGCAUCGACGGUGACAAAGGCCCUGUAGGAUCUGCCGGCUCCCCGGGUGUCAAGGGCGAGCCUGGAGCUCCUGGUCCGGAUGGAGCCCCAGGGAAGCCGGGCAUUGAUGGCCUGACGGGAGCCAAAGGGGAGCCAGGACCCAUUGGCAGGCCAGGAGUCAAAGGCCAGCCCGGACUCCCAGGGCCACCAGGGCUCCCUGUGAGUAUCUGCUCUCCCACGGGUGGGGUGGGCACCCCCCAAGUCCCCCCUGCUCCAUCCUUGCU
rnacentral:lncRNA from 1 species